AGGACGAACGCUGGCGGCGUGCUUAACACAUGCAAGUCGAGCGGUAAGGCCCUUCGGGGUACACGAGCGGCGAACGGGUGAGUAACACGUGGGUGAUCUGCCCUGUACUUCGGGAUAAGCCUGGGAAACUGGGUCUAAUACCGGAUAUGACCUUACAUCGCAUGGUGUUUGGUGGAAAGAUUUAUCGGUACAGGAUGGGCCCGCGGCCUAUCAGCUUGUUGGUGGGGUAAUGGCCUACCAAGGCGACGACGGGUAGCCGGCCUGAGAGGGCGACCGGCCACACUGGGACUGAGACACGGCCCAGACUCCUACGGGAGGCAGCAGUGGGGAAUAUUGCACAAUGGGCGAAAGCCUGAUGCAGCGACGCCGCGUGAGGGAUGACGGCCUUCGGGUUGUAAACCUCUUUCGACAGGGACGAAGCGCAAGUGACGGUACCUGUAGAAGAAGCACCGGCCAACUACGUGCCAGCAGCCGCGGUAAUACGUAGGGUGCGAGCGUUGUCCGGAAUUACUGGGCGUAACGACCUGGUUUAGGGGGUUUGUCGCGUCGUCCGUGAAAACUUGGGGCUCAACCCCAAGCUUGCGGGCGAUACGGGCAGACUUGAGUACUGCAGGGGAGACUGGAAUUCCUGGUGUAGCGGUGAAAUGCGCAGAUAUCAGGAGGAACACCGGUGGCGAAGGCGGG
rnacentral:rRNA from 1 species